GGACACACCCGGGGAGGGCUCUGGACUGUGCGCUUCUUCAGGAGCGUCUUGUGGAGCUGUCCCCAGCCGGGCUGCAGAGGCUGAAGACCCCCAGAAGUGGCUUGUGAAGCUUGCACUUUUUUCUUGACUGGACUUUAACCCGCAGAAGUAUGGCCGCCUUAAUAUCUGAAAACUUGAAGUUCUUUUCUCUGUUCUUCAGGAGCAGAGAUGUGAUGAUAUUCAAUGGACUGGUUGCGUUGGGAACGGUUGGCAGCCAGGAGUUGUUCUCGGUGGUGGCUUUCCACUGCCCUUGUUCUCCGGAGAGAAACUAUAUGUAUGGACUGGCAGCUAUUGGAGUGCCAGUCCUUGUCUUGUUUCUCAUUGGCAUCAUACUAAAUAACCACACCUGGAAUCUCGUAGCAGAGUGUCGGAAAAGGGCGGUGAAGAACUGUUCAAUUCCAUCUACUUUCUUGUUAUUUGGAUCCAUAGCAGGGAGGGCAGCAGUAGCCCCUGUGACCUGGACUGUCAUUUCACUCCUCCGGGGAGAGGCCUAUGUGUGCGCCCGCAGUGAGUUCUUGAACCCGUUAACAUUUCCAAAUUUCCCUCUGGACAAAGGACGAGAAGACAUAGCUAAAUUUCCAUGCAAGGACACCCCACCUGAUCUUAUUAUCUUUAAAGAAGAAGUUAUACGGAGGUUAAAGUAUGAAUCACAGUUUCUCGGCUGGAUUCUGAUUGCUGUGGUUGCUUCAAUGAUAUUCCUUCUAAAGUGCUUGCACCAUUGCUGUUCUCCUUUAAGUUAUCACCAGGAAGCAUAUUGGAGCCAGUACCGCAACUGUGAGAAAGAGCUCUUCAACCGCACUGCCGAAGUCCACGCCAAGGUUCUAGCGGCCAGUAACGUCAAGCAAUUUUUUGGCUUUGUGGCUUUGAAUACAGAAGAGAAGGAAAUGGUUAGGGAGUAUCCGGUGGAUGAGGCUCAGCCAAGUCCUCAGUGGAAUGAAAUCACAGGGCUGUACCUGUAUCGGGAAAACAAAGGCUUCCCCUUGUACAGCCGUCUUCACAAAUGGGCUAAAAAGUUAAUCGGGAAUGGCACAGAUAAUGUCAAAGAAACUGCACUGCUUGCAAUGUGAGAUGGUGAUUAUUUGACGUAGCAUUAAGAGGAAGUCCACUGGCUCGCAAGAUACAUUAAAGGGAACCUGUCAUCAACUUUAUGCUGCCCAUACUAACGGCAGUAUAAAGUAGAGACAGGCGUUCGGCACUUCUGGAGCAAUGCUGGAUAAAGCGAAUUUGUGGUGUAAGCCAGUGCUGCUUUGGUCUGUGUUUGGAGGUUCUGAGGGUAGGGGGCUUCGUCCAGGGUGAUUCUGGGAUGGACUCAGAUUUGUGAGAGUGAAGGAGAGGACGUUGUGGUCAGAGAGAGGUGAAUUAUUAAAGUUGGAAAUUAAACAAAGCCGGAACAAGACCAGGUGUGUUACUGUCUUUGUGUCUGA